rnacentral:rRNA from 1 species
CCCUUAGAUGUUCUGGGCCGCGCGCGCGCUACACUGACGAUGGCAACGAGUUUUUCCUUCGCCGAAAGGUGUGGGUAAUCUUUUGAAACAUCGUCGUGCUGGGGAUAGAUCAUUGCAAUUUUUGAUCUUGAACGAGGAAUUCCUAGUAAGCGCGAGUCAUCAGCUCGCGUUGAUUACGUCCCUGCCCUUUGUACACACCGCCCGUCGCUACUACCGAUUGAAUGGUUUAGUGAGGACUCCUGAUUGGCGCCGCCGCCCCGGCAACGGAGCAGCGGACUGCCGAAAAGUUGUUCAAACUUGAUCAUUUAGAGGAAGUAAAAGUCGUAACA